AACCCCUGGGAGUGGGCUCCACCAAGGAGCCCCCUUCUUCGCCUCGGUCUCUCUGCUCUCCAGCUGGGGCCCUUGGAGAAAGCAGAUGUCGCCCCCUUCGGGCUGUGCUGGAAUGAAGCCAGAAGGCUUGGGGCACUUCGGGGGGCUGGGGCUGGAGUUAGCCCGCCAGGCCCCUGGCCUUCUGCGCCUGCGUUCCCCCUUGAGAGAAGUCAGAACAAAUUCCAUUCCCUUUGGAGCAGCGCCGCUAGAGAUUCUGGGCACAGCUGGAUUUUCCUUUUAACAGUUUGCUGUCAGAAGAACAGGAUCUGAAGGAGACCCCCAGCACCCUCCAGGAGCGUGACUACCCAGAUUCAGAGAGCAGACCCCAUGUUCGACAGGAACAGGACUGGGUCCAGUCAGUGGCAUUAGCUUCUAAGUGAGAGAUCUGGAACCCAGAUUGGGAUCCAGCGAUUGAACUGCAUAUUUCACAGGAACUGGACAGGGUCCAGUUGGAGGCCUCGGCCCUGCACCCGCCCCAGGACCUGUGAAAGUGAAUGUCCAUCUUCUCCCUCCCUGAAUCUCAGGGUCAUCCCCCGCGCGCUGGAACUGGCCACUCUCUAGGAACCGAACGAGGUAGCUCCAGUCUGACAUCAUGCUGGUUUCCUGACGCCAGUGGAGCAGAUACGCUUCUCCCUCUGCAGGACUUCCAGAUCCCUAAGGACAGCUCUGGUCGGCUCCAUGCGGGUCAGCAGCUCCUCAGCCAGCAGCUCUGGCUGCUUCCCUUCUGCCAAGCCUGGCAAUGACGGAGUGUUUGCGGCCUGACCCCAGAUCUCCCCCAACCUUGCGAGUGACUCAUUGGGAUAUCAUGCUGGUAGCUGGAAAUCACCAUGAUGGGAGUAUUUACACCACAGGAUUUGGAAACGCUACAAAUCAAGGGUUUUUUUCUCUUUUUUUCUUCUUCUUCUUUUUUCUUUAAAAUCCCUUGGAGAAACAGUAGUUAAAUGGCUCUCAGCCCAUACCACUGCCCACAACCACUGUUACAAGAACUUGGUUUUAUCUAGACCUUGUCUUACCAGCAACCCUGUGUCCUCAGAUCCUUUCCUGACACACUUUCACACACAACCCAGUGUUAUCUGGAAACCGCUCUAACCCCAGUUUAACUAACUCUGCGUUUUCCUGCAGUCACUUAAACCCAGGGUUCUCAGACACUUGUCGGCACAGACUCACCCAUUGCUAAGUGGCACGUAACCCGAGGUCAUCACCAGCUAGGUGGCACAAGUGUGCACCACACAGACACGGCCCGUGAUUCAGCGUCCUUCAGUUUCUAGAAUAAGCUUCUCCUAAAAUAUAAGAAAAACAAAACAGAUGUCAGCCUGUGUUUGGAGAAUUUUCCACAAGUUUUAGUGAAAGAUAAUAAUAAUAGCUAAUAUUUAUUGGGUACUUACUAGGAUUGGGUCAGAUCUAAGCACUUCACAUACUAAUUCACCAUAAACAAACUCAUCUUCACAACAAUCCUAGGGAGACACUGUUACUUUUCUCUUUUCUAGAUUUUUUGUUGAAGAGACAGAGAAAGAGAGAGAGAGAGAGAAAGUGAGAAAGCACCCCCAAGAGGGGAUAGCCAUGCCUCAGUCCCUUCUCCAUUCUCUUCUCAGGAUUUUGGCCAUGCACGCACACGCACCUGGUAUGUUUCUUGAGCCACCGUAUCCGGCACUCGAACUACGCAGUCUGCCAUGUGGCAUCCAGCCACCUUAACCUCCAUGCCACUGGCCAGCCCACUUUCUUGUUUCAAUUGCUGAGGAAACCAAUGCACAGAAGUUAAGUAACUUACCCAAGUCCAAGUGGCUGAUAAAUAGCAAGCCCAGGAGGAGAUCUGACAUAGUCCGGCUUAAACAUGCACUUUCAGCACUAGGCUAUAGACAUUUCCUUGGAAAUACUUGUGUGCAGAAAUUGUGCCGAUUUUUAUUUUAUUUUAUUUAUUUAUUUUUGAGACAGAAUUUUG